rfam:Rhizophagus irregularis DAOM 181602 strain DAOM 197198 GLOINscaffold_1698_Cont1702, whole genome shotgun sequence.
GCCCAGUUAGUUUAAUUGGUUAGAACGCCACACCUAUUGUUCUGAAUUACAGAAUAUCAAAACCGUGGAAAUGCGGGUUCAAUUCCUGCACUGGGCU